rnacentral:rRNA from 1 species
ACGAACGCUGGCGGCGUGCCUAACACAUGCAAGUCGAGCGGGGACGAUUGCGACGGAAUUGAAAUUUCGGAUGGAUAUGAAGAUGUAAUGUUCUAGCGGCGGACGGGUGAGUAACGCGUGAGCAACCUGUCCCUUACAGGGGGAUAACACAGCGAAAGUUGUACUAAUACCGCAUAAGACCACAGAGCGACAUCGCUUAGGGGUCAAAGGAGCAAUCCGGUAAGGGGUGGGCUCGCGUCCGAUUAGAUAGUUGGUGAGGUAACGGCCCACCAAGUCGACGAUCGGUAGCCGACCUGAGAGGGUGAUCGGCCACAUUGGGACUGAGACACGGCCCAAACUCCUACGGGAGGCAGCAGUGGGGAAUAUUGGGCAAUGGGGGAAACCCUGACCCAGCAACGCCGCGUGAGGGAAGAAGGUUUUCGGAUCGUAAACCUCUGUCCUUGGUGAAGAGAAAGAGACGGUAGCCAAGGAGGAAGCCCCGGCUAACUACGUGCCAGCCGCUGC